GCAGGUGUUUACAGAACAUCCACGGAGUUUGGGCCAAGCCCAGAGUGAGGAGCUGGGCACUGGGGUGGCAGAAGACCAGGCCUUGCCUUGAGCCCUUGUGCGAGCUUUACCUCAAAGCCUCUGUAAUCGAAGUGGGAGAAGGGGUGGUGGUGCGUGGUUGGUCUCAGCCACCUCCACCACUCCUCAGAAGAUGAACGCUGGAUCCAGGAAGAGAUUGUCAAGGUUACUAUCUGCCUCUCUUUUUUGAUCAUUUUAUCCAAUUUGUUAAUGGAUACAAAUUUGUUAAUGGAUUGUUAAUAGAUCUGAAUUUAUUUAAAGCCAAUAAAGAUUCUCCUCUGGCUGAAACAAACUAACAAGUUGGCCUGUUACUGUUUCAUGGAUGCUGUCAAAAGAUACAACACUCCUGUAUCAAAGAACUUUAUUAUUCACUGCAAAAGCAGUAGCCAGAGCUUUAUGUUGGUUUGCUUUUUGUUCCUAAGCCUCCCAAGCCCUGUGGGGACAGUGCACACAGACUAUGAUGGAUGCCUGAAGUGGGUUGCAUUACAAGAGAGGAGCACUGAGCUAAAGGAAUUUGCCUCUUUUAGGCUACACAGAAUUAAGCCUGCUCUUUGAAGGUGGGGAGAUGUUAUCUCAUCCCUCAAACGUUGCUUGCUACAAACACCGCCCAGAGAAAUGGACUGAUAAAGAGCUGGACAUUGGAGUGGCAGAACAGCAAGAAUGAUCAGAGAAGUUCAAGGGCCAUGGCAGAGAGCCUUUUCCAACAUAGUACAGUGUACUUAUACACUACAUAUGAAGGCCAGCUAAUCUAGUCUUGGGAGAACCAAGAGAGGCUUCUGAAAGAGAUGACAUCUAUGCCGAACCUUGAAGGUCAAACAGGAAUCAGCCACAUAAAGAGAAGGAGGAGAGCAUUCUGGAUAGCAGGAACAUCAUGUAUAAAACUUUGAAGUAAACGAUACACUCCGAGAAGUUUUUCAUUCCCUUUCACAUUCAUCUCCAUAUUGAACUCCAAUCUCAAACACCUAUAAUUAAAGUCAGUGUGUGACUCUGGAAGGUCUAGAUUCAAUACACUUCUGUGAAUUGCAGUGGCCUCUGGAAUCUUUACAUUAAUGUCACAUAAAAUUCACAGCUAAUUAUUGUCGACUCAGUUCAUAACAUUUCCACCUUUUCGGUAACUCUUCUUUUUUUACUCCACAGUCCGCCUGGUUAACAGUGAGGCUUUGUAACAGCAUAACUUUAACUAUGGCUACAGUUUAUUGGCUCCUAUUUUGGAAACUGACUCAUGCUGAACUAAUCCCCUUUCCCUGGGAGUUUAAAAUCAAGGUUAGGAGAUUUUUAACGUACCGACUGCUCUCCAACAGCAGCAUUAUAACCUUUGCUAUUUUUUUCCCUUGUAUUCUGAAAAUAGAAGAGAAAUACAGAAAACUCUCUGGGUUAUGUAUAGUGCACUAGAGUCUGGUACAGUUCAUGAGCAGCGUCUCUAUCUCUGGUUUCUGAGACAUCCUUGCAUCCUUAUAAUAAAUUCCUCUUUAACUUUAGAAAUUGUGUAAUUUUCUUUCUUUAAUUUUUAUUUAUUCAUUUAUUUUAUUUUAUUUUGAUGGACUCUCGCUCUGUCAGCCAGGCUGGAGUGGCACCCAGCCACUCUCGAUCUAGAUUCUCCUGCCUCAGCCUCCCAAGUAGCUGGAACUAUAGGCGUGCACCCUGAUGCCGGGUAAUUUUUUAUUUUUAGU
rnacentral:lncRNA from 1 species